GCCCGAGUGGCGGAAUGGCAGACGCAGGGGACUCAAAAUCCCCCGGGGGCAACCCCGUGAGAGUUCGACUCUCUCCUCG
rnacentral:tRNA from 1 species